CCCUCCACUGAUUAAACCAGCCCAGGCCUGACCCUGCAGCUGGGAGAGGAGCCCCAGCCUGAGGAUCCCCAGGUGACCCCAUUCAGUGCUCACGACACAACACAGAAAAACCACCAUGGAAUCUGUGCUCGGAUGGAUUUUCCUUGCCACUAUUUUAAAAGGUGUCCAGGGUGAGGUGCAGCUGGUGGAGUCUGGGGGAGACCUGGUGAAGCCUGGGGGGUCCCUGAGACUCUCCUGUGUGGGCUCUGGAUUCACCUUCAGUAGCUACUGGAUGAGCUGGGUCCGCCAGGCUCCAGGGAAGGGGCUACAGUGGAUUGCAGAAAUUAGCGGUAGUGGAAGUAGCACAAACUAUGCAGACGCUGUGAAGGGCCGAUUCACCAUCUCCAGAGACAAUGCCAAGAACACGCUGUAUCUGCAGAUGAACAGCCUGAGAGCCGAGGACACGGCCAUGUAUUACUGUGCAAGGGACACAGUGAGGCGACCUCAGUCUGCUGGCGUCAUCUCAAUGGGUGUGUCUUCUACCAUCCCUGUGGUGAAACCUAAUGUCCAGGUGAUGGGAGGAGGAGGUGGGGCCUUCGGGGAGCACUUAGGUCAGGAGAUUUAG